rnacentral:lncRNA from 1 species
GUAUUCUGUAGUAGUAUGAAAAGGUAAAGGCGGCGUACUGCUAUAGUAUCUCUGCAGAAUGUUCGGAGGAGUACACCAACUGAAAGAGGUUUAGGAAAAUUGCAUCGUGGAUCUAGAAUUCUAGAUGCAGUAGUGUAGCCUACAGUAGCCCUGUACACACAUAAAGGCAUUUUUCUUAUAAAAUUGUCUCGCAAAAUGGGAUUUUUUUGUGCUAAUUAUAGGGUGCUUUAGCGCCACCUGGGCCGUAUAGGAUGCUUUAGCGCAACAUUUCUGAACAACCCUAUGCAGCUUCCAUAGACCACCACAGGCAUUCCCGCAUGCAGUUUGCUCUAAAUGCCUCCUUUUCAUUUUUACUAUCCCUGAACGACGACCCAUCUCAGGGAAGUAGCCAUUAAAU